GAUCCUGGCUCAGGAUGAACGCUAGCUACAGGCUUAACACAUGCAAGUCGAGGGGCAGCAUGGUCUUAGCUUGCUAAGACCGAUGGCGACCGGCGCACGGGUGAGUAACGCGUAUCCAACCUGCCUUACACUCUUGGACAGCCUUCUGAAAGGGAGAUUAAUACAAGAUGUUAUCAUGAGUAAGCAUUUUCGCAUGAUUAAAGGUAUUCCGGUAGACGAUGGGGAUGCG
rnacentral:rRNA from 1 species